rnacentral:rRNA from 1 species
GACGAACGCUGGCGGCGUGCCUAAUACAUGCAAGUCGAGCGAAGUUUUUCUGGUGCUUGCACUAGAAAAACUUAGCGGCGAACGGGUGAGUAACACGUAAAGAACCUGCCUCAUAGACUGGGACAACUAUUGGAAACGAUAGCUAAUACCGGAUAACAGCAUUACCUGCAUGGUUGAUGUUUAAAAGUUGGUUUUGCUAACACUAUGAGAUGGCUUUGCGGUGCAUUAGCUAGUUGGUGGGGUAAAGGCCUACCAAGGCGACGAUGCAUAGCCGACCUGAGAGGGUGAUCGGCCACACUGGGACUGAGACACGGCCCAGACUCCUACGGGAGGCAGCAGUAGGGAAUCUUCCGCAAUGGGCGAAAGCCUGACGGAGCAACGCCGCGUGAGUGAAGAAGGAUUUCGGUUCGUAAAGCUCUGUUGUUAGGGAAGAAUGAUUGUGUAGUAACUAUACACAGUAGAGACGGUACCUAACCAGAAAGCCACGGCUAACUACGUG